rnacentral:pre_miRNA from 1 species
GGUGAGGGGACUGCAGCCUGGCACGAGACCUGAAAACUUUUCUGACAAGCAGCCGGGCGGGCAGAGUCACGCAUGGUGUCGGACCAGGCUUCAUUCCCCUCACA